CGUUCCUGCACCACAGAGGUCGCUGAAAACAUAACACGGGCUACGCGAGGAGCGGGAUUAAGUCCUUAGUGGCUCAGCCAGCACCGGGGACCAGUUUUCAAGCCAGCAAAGGUAGUUUUCACCACAUGGAUGGCUGUUGGUUGGGGAAACAGGUCAAGGGAUUGCUAGGAAAGCCUCCCCGCUACCGGAGCCCAAGGAGCGGCACCGCUUGUAGAGCCAGCGUCCCAUCCACGGCCUCCAGCAGCGUGCCCACGGCGCAGCUCAGCGCCCGUGCUGCAGAACCCACCACACAGCAGCGCCCGGGCACUGGGGCCCCAGUCCCGCUCACAGCCUCGGCCACAGCCGGGGAACCUUUCCUCUGAGCAGGCUGAAGCCUCCUGGUGCCAGCCAGGUCUCCGCAGACCGCAGUCAGGCUUCCCGAGACGCAGCUACGCGAUGCCUCACGCUCUCCUGCGGAAGACCUCGUAUUUAUUGCCUCUCUCCUAUCUUUUGAGAAACACCUGCAACGCUACGUUGGCUCCGACGGCACAAAGAGCCUGGCGGAGCCAAGCCUGGAGCUUAUCCUGUUUGCUGCUGCUCACAUCUCCGAGAAGUCACCUGGCAGGCCCCGGCAAAAAGGACAGGCAAGCUCCAGCCAAACUCCUACCAAGCAGCGCCGUGGGCUGCAGAACCGGCAUCCCGAGCAGCCAGCACCUCCCGCCGUGUCCCCGGGCAUGCGGGGUGCUGCCCGAGCAUCACCCGAGAAGCCAGCACCCGGUUCUCAUCCCACAGCCCUAAGAACGAUGCCGUGACACCCCAAACUCUGCGGGGCAGAGGCCGCUGCAGACCCACGCGGGGCUUGGCGCCCACCAUCGCUGCCCGGCCGGACGCCUCCCUGCGGCCCCUUGCUGCUGCCGCCCCUCGCCCCGCGACACGCAGCAAGCGGCCGCCGCUGGCACCCCGUCUGCAGCCCCAGCACCCGAACCGGGGAGCCCUGCCCGUCGCAGCCCGCCGGGGGAACGCCGCCGUCGUUCUCCGCUCGCCCCGGCGGCCCGGCCCCUGCCCCAGCCCCCCUGACCGGCUGCUCCCCCCCCUCCCAGGCUGUCUGCACGGACGGGCGCCUCUUCAACCACCUGGAGACCAACUGGCGCUUCAGCCCCGGCAUCCCCGGCUACCCCCGCACCAGCACCGUGGAUUUCUCGAUCUCCUUCGAGUUUCGCUCCCUGCUGCACUCCCAGCUGGCCACUGUCUUCUUCGACGAGGUGGUCAAGCAGAUGGUGGCAGCCUUCGAGCGCCGGGCGGCCAAGAACUUCGGUCCCGAGACCCGCAUCCCCCGCGAGCUCAUGUUCCACGAGGUCCACCAGACGUGAGGGCAGCCCGGCUGCUGCGGACUGCGCCAGGGCCCCGGGGCCGCUCGCCCUGCCCACCCUCUUAAAUAUUUAUUUGAGUGCAUCUUUGCUGCCGUUGCCUCGACUUCCCUCCCAGCCUCGGGGGCGAGAGGCGAUGCUCCUGCAAGCGCGGGGGCCGCUGUGAGCCCCCCCGGUCCCAUCUCAACACCAGGGGAGCUGCGGCCCAGGGCCAGCCUCCCCCUGGUUGUGUAGCUGAUUUUGGUUUUAAGUUUUGUUUCGUUUUAGUUCUUGGGAGUUUUUUUUUUUUUUAAAAAAAAAAAAGAG
rnacentral:lncRNA from 1 species